rnacentral:rRNA from 1 species
GACGAACGCUGGCGGCGUGCCUAAUACAUGCGAGUUGAGCGAUGAAGCUUGGUGCUUGCACCAAUUUGAAGAGCAGCGAACGGGUGAGUAACGCGUGGGGAAUCUGCCUUUGAGCGGGGGACAACAUUUGGAAACGAAUGCUAAUACCGCAUAACAACUUUAAACAUAAGUUUUAAGUUUGAAAGAUGCAAUUGCAUCACUCAAAGAUGAUCCCGCGUUGUAUUAGCUAGUUGGUGAGGUAAAGGCUCACCAAGGCGAUGAUACAUAGCCGACCUGAGAGGGUGAUCGGCCACAUUGGGACUGAGACACGGCCCAAACUCCUACGGGAGGCAGCAGUAGGGAAUCUUCGGCAAUGGACGAAAGUCUGGCCGAGCAACGCCGCGUGAGUGAAGAAGGUUUUCGGAUCGUAAAACUCUGUUGGUAGAGAAGAACGUUGGUGAGAGUGGAAAGCUCAUCAAGUGACGGUAACUACCCAGAAAGGGACGGCUAACUACGUG